GUGCCACUUCUCUGCAUUCGGUAUGGCGCCUUGUACUUCUAUCCAACGUUGCCCGCUCCCCAUCUUCCCUGCCCACCAGCUCACUGCCCUCGGUCCGCAUCUCCGGAUGUUUCGUGAGAUAUGGAGCCUGCCACCAGGGAACCGGAUUUUUCCGUCUCGUCCAUGGAAGCACGGGUGAUGGCCGCAUGCGCAGUGAUAACUCAGCGACUCGCGCCUUUUGACCACUGUUGAGAUGAAGAUUGUGAGGAGGGAGACCAGAAGAUAACAGACGAGGACACAGCAGAAGGGCCUGGUCACACUUGAGCUUAUUUCUUGGAAGAGUCUGAGAAGACAGCCUGUCAGGCUCCUAACACCAAGGUAACUUUGCUGGCUAAGACAGCCUGACCCUCCGGUUUCCCUUUCCCAUCGGAUCUUGACACUGGUCUUGGUGGUCGUUAAGGAGGAAGAAUACCCUGAAGCUGGCCUCACAGCGAUGCAGUCUGCUGUAGAGCAGCAGGCCAGACUCAGACAUAUAUGCCUGGGCUUUGUGAAGUGGGAAAACUUAAGAACUGGUCAGUGUUUCUGAAUACUGGCUUACUUCCAUGGUUUUUUUUUUUUUUUUUUAAGGGCCAUGUAACCUGUGAAGCAGCCAUUAUACAUGAUUUGGUCUACACUUGCUGGGUAAGUUUAAGGAUUGUUAACCCUUUUCCUAAGUAGUAUAGCAGAAAUUCAGGUUUGCACAGUGGCUAGCCAGCUAUAAGCCACCUCCAUAAUUUAUGUCUGGCCUGUGUACUGAACUAGUUAGCUGUUCACACCUGGGGCAUGCUUGCCAUGCUGGUUGGUUAGUAUUUGUCCAUUGAAGAACAUUGCAUGAGUACAAUCAGACACUGGUCCAUGAUGAAACCCAUUAUCAGUGGACAUCUAUGGAUGAGAAAUGCGGAUAUGGGACUGAGAC
rnacentral:lncRNA from 1 species